AAUAAAUUUGAAAGAUGUAAGUGUGCAUUCGUGAAAUGCGUUGAAAAUGUGAGGAUAAUUCUAAAAUUAUGCCCUGAAUGAACGUUUGGAUAGUCUUCAGAAGAUAUACAAAUUAUUUUAAGGUGAAUUGAUUGUUCAUCGUUUAUAAGUAUUUUAAGCAUAACCUACGGCACUAGUACGCAGACACAGAUGCAGAGAAAACGAUGUUUCAAAGAACCUUCCAUUUAUUAUGCAUACUCUAUGGUUUUACCAAUGGUUAAGGUUGAAUGCGUUACAAAUCUGUGAUUUUUAAGAUAUGGCUUAAGUUUUCUGAAAGGUAUUUGCAACCUUUUAACCACCAGAUAUUUGCAAUACAUUGUUUAGGCAAAUGAAACUAUUUUGCACACACGUAUUUUCAAAACCUGCUAUUGUUAAUUUAGUUUUAGUAAAAUGUACAAAGAAAGUCGUUUUUUUCAAAUGAAAUGGUUUAAAAAAGCUCGAUCCAGCGUUCUUCUGCUAGAGUGUCUCUGAAUCGUCUGUUCCAAAGUCCCUGUCUGGACCUCUGCUCACUCUCAAGCACCGCUCGUGGAUCACCAAACUCCCGAAAAAAAUCUACUACUUUAUAAAUUUUUUUGAGUUUUUGUAUUUAGAAAUUAUCAAUUACAUUGUGGGCUCUUUUUCACCUUCUCUUAUGCUGAUUGUACUUGUUAAAUUCAAUUUUUUUUCGGAUUUAACCUCACAAAUGCUGUUUGUCACAUAAACGUCAGUGCGCUAAAUAGGGCGCCAUCUACGGUUUCGAAAAAACCGCUGAAGCUUAUCGAUGCGCCAGGCCUGAACAACGAAGUUGUCUCCAUACAUCAAGGAGGCCAUGGU